rnacentral:rRNA from 1 species
GACGUGCUAAUCUGCGAUAAGCGUCGGUAAGGUGAUAUGAACCGUUAUAACCGGCGAUUUCCGAAUGGGGAAACCCAGUGUGAUUCGUCACACUAUCAUUAACUGAAUCCAUAGGUUAAUGAGGCGAACCGGGGGAACUGAAACAUCUAAGUACCCCGAGGAAAAGAAAUCAACCGAGAUUCCCCCAGUAGCGGCGAGCGAACGGGGAGCAGCCCAGAGCCUGAAUCAGUGUGUGUGUUAGUGGAAGCGUCUGGAAAGGCGUGCGAUACAGGGUGACAGCCCCGUACACAAAAAUGCACAUACUGUGAGCUCGAUGAGUAGGGCGGGACACGUGGUAUCCUGUCUGAAUAUGGGGGGACCAUCCUCCAAGGCUAAAUACUCCUGACUGACCGAUAGUGAACCAGUACCGUGAGGGAAAGGCGAAAAGAACCCCGGCGAGGGGAGUGAAAAAGAACCUGAAACCGUGUACGUACAAGCAGUGGGAGCACGCUUAGGCGUGUGACUGCGUACCUUUUGUAUAAUGGGUCAGCGACUUAUAUUCUGUAGCAAGGUUAACCGAAUAGGGGAGCCGAAGGGAAACCGAGUCUUAACUGGGCGUUAAGUUGCAGGGUAUAGACCCGAAACCCGGUGAUCUAGCCAUGGGCAGGUUGAAGGUUGGGUAACACUAACUGGAGGACCGAACCGACUAAUGUUGAAAAAUUAGCGGAUGACUUGUGGCUGGGGGUGAAAGGCCAAUCAAACCGGGAGAUAGCUGGUUCUCCCCGAAAGCUAUUUAGGUAGCGCCUCGUGAAUUCAUCUCCGGGGGUAGAGCACUGUUUCGGCAAGGGGGUCAUCCCGACUUACCAACCCGAUGCAAACUGCGAAUACCGGAGAAUGUUAUUACGGGAGACACACGGCGGGUGCUAACGUCCGUCGUGAAGAGGGAAACAACCCAGACCGCCAGCUAAGGUCCCAAAGUCAUGGUUAAGUGGGAAACGAUGUGGGAAGGCCCAGACAGCCAGGAUGUUGGCUUAGAAGCAGCCAUCAUUUAAAGAAAGCGUAAUAGCUCACUGGUCGAGUCGGCCUGCGCGGAAGAUGUAACGGGGCUAAACCAUGCACCGAAGCUGCGGCAGCGACGCUUAUGCGUUGUUGGGUAGGGGAGCGUUCUGUAAGCCUGUGAAGGUGUGCUGUGAGGUAUGCUGGAGGUAUCAGAAGUGCGAAUGCUGACAUAAGUAACGAUAAAGCGGGUGAAAAGCCCGCUCGCCGGAAGACCAAGGGUUCCUGUCCAACGUUAAUCGGGGCAGGGUGAGUCGACCCCUAAGGCGAGGCCGAAAGGCGUAGUCGAUGGGAAACAGGUUAAUAUUCCUGUACUUGGUGUUACUGCGAAGGGGGGACGGAGAAGGCUAUGUUGGCCGGGCGACGGUUGUCCCGGUUUAAGCGUGUAGGCUGGUUUUCCAGGCAAAUCCGGAAAAUCAAGGCCGAGGCGUGAUGACGAGGCACUACGGUGCUGAAGCAACAAAUGCCCUGCUUCCAGGAAAAGCCUCUAAGCAUCAGGUAACAUCAAAUCGUACCCCAAACCGACACAGGUGGUCAGGUAGAGAAUACCAAGGCGCUUGAGAGAACUCGGGUGAAGGAACUAGGCAAAAUGGUGCCGUAACUUCGGGAGAAGGCACGCUGAUACGUAGGUGAAGCGACUUGCUCGUGGAGCUGAAAUCAGUCGAAGAUACCAGCUGGCUGCAACUGUUUAUUAAAAACACAGCACUGUGCAAACACGAAAGUGGACGUAUACGGUGUGACGCCUGCCCGGUGCCGGAAGGUUAAUUGAUGGGGUUAGCGCAAGCGAAGCUCUUGAUCGAAGCCCCGGUAAACGGCGGCCGUAACUAUAACGGUCCUAAGGUAGCGAAAUUCCUUGUCGGGUAAGUUCCGACCUGCACGAAUGGCGUAAUGAUGGCCAGGCUGUCUCCACCCGAGACUCAGUGAAAUUGAACUCGCUGUGAAGAUGCAGUGUACCCGCGGCAAGACGGAAAGACCCCGUGAACCUUUACUAUAGCUUGACACUGAACAUUGAGCCUUGAUGUGUAGGAUAGGUGGGAGGCUUUGAAGUGUGGACGCCAGUCUGCAUGGAGCCGACCUUGAAAUACCACCCUUUAAUGUUUGAUGUUCUAACGUGGACCCGUGAUCCGGGUUGCGGACAGUGUCUGGUGGGUAGUUUGACUGGGGCGGUCUCCUCCUAAAGAGUAACGGAGGAGCACGAAGGUUGGCUAAUCCUGGUCGGACAUCAGGAGGUUAGUGCAAUGGCAUAAGCCAGCUUGACUGCGAGCGUGACGGCGCGAGCAGGUGCGAAAGCAGGUCAUAGUGAUCCGGUGGUUCUGAAUGGAAGGGCCAUCGCUCAACGGAUAAAAGGUACUCCGGGGAUAACAGGCUGAUACCGCCCAAGAGUUCAUAUCGACGGCGGUGUUUGGCACCUCGAUGUCGGCUCAUCACAUCCUGGGGCUGAAGUAGGUCCCAAGGGUAUGGCUGUUCGCCAUUUAAAGUGGUACGCGAGCUGGGUUUAGAACGUCGUGAGACAGUUCGGUCCCUAUCUGCCGUGGGCGCUGGAGAACUGAGGGGGGCUGCUCCUAGUACGAGAGGACCGGAGUGGACGCAUCACUGGUGUUCGGGUUGUCAUGCC